rnacentral:rRNA from 1 species
AUUGAACGCUGGCGGCAGGCCUAACACAUGCAAGUCGAACGAGUGGCGGACGGGUGAGUAAUGUCUGGGACACUGCAUGAUGGAGGGGGAUAACUACUGGAAACGGUAGAUAAUACCGCAUACCAUCGGAUGUGCCCAGAUGGGAUUAGCUAGUAGGGGGGGUAACGGGUCACUUAGGCGACGAUCCAUAGCUUGUCUGAGAGGAUGACAAGCCACACUGGACAUGCUACACGGUCCAGACUCCUACGGGAGGCAGCAGUGGGGAAUAUUGCACAAUGGGCGCAAGCCUGAUGAAGCCAUGCCGCGUGUAUGAAGAAGGCCUUCGGGUUGUAAAGUACUUUCAGCGGGGAGGCGUUACCCGCAGAAGAAGCACCGGCUAACUCCGUGCCAGCAGCCGCGGUAAUAC